rnacentral:rRNA from 1 species
AACGAACGCUGGCGGCAGGCCUAAUACAUGCAAGUCGAACGCUCCAGCAAUGGAGAGUGGCAGACGGGUGAGUAACGCGUGGGAACCUUCCCAGUGGUACGGAAUAGCUCAGGGAAACUUGAGGUAAUACCGAAUACGCCCUUCGGGGGAAAGAUUUAUCGCCAUUGGAUGGGCCCGCGUCGGAUUAGCUAGUUGGUGGGGUAAUGGCCCACCAAGGCGACGAUCCGUAGCUGGUCUGAGAGGAUGAUCAGCCACACUGGGACUGAGACACGGCCCAGACUCCUACGGGAGGCAGCAGUAGGAAAUAUUGGACAAUGGGCGCAAGCCUGAUCCAGCCAUGCCGCGUGAGUGACGAAGGCCUUCGGGUUGUAAAGCUCUUUUGGCGGGGACGAUAAUGACGGUACCCGCAGAAUAAGCUCCGGCUAACUUCGUGCCAGCCGCCGCCGUAAGAC